rnacentral:rRNA from 2 species
UACGUAGGGUGCGAGCGUUAAUCGGAAUUACUGGGCGUAAAGCGUGCGCAGGCGGUUUUGUAAGCCAGAUGUGAAAUCCCCGGGCUUAACCUGGGAAUGGCAUUUGGGACUGCAAGGCUCGAGUGCGGCAGAGGAGACUGGAAUUCCUGGUGUAGCAGUGAAAUGCGUAGAUAUCAGGAGGAACACCGAUGGCGAAGGCAGGUCUCUGGGCUGACACUGACGCUCAUGCACGAAAGCGUGGGGAGCAAACAGG